rnacentral:rRNA from 1 species
CGCAGCCGCGGUAAUUCCAGCUCCAAUAGCGUAUAUUAAAGUUGUUGCAGUUAAAAAGCUCGUAGUUGAAUUUCGGGGUUAGUAGGUUGGUCAUGCCUCUGGUAUGUACUGGUCUCACUGAUUCCUCCUUCCUGAUGAACCUUAAUGCCAUUAAUUUGGUGUUUUGGGGAAUUUGGACUGUUACUUUGAAAAAAUUAGAGUGUUUAAAGCAAGCUAACGCUUGAAUACAUUAGCAUGGAAUAAUGAAAUAGGACGUUCGAUCCUAUUUUGUUGGUUUCUAGGAUUGACGUAAUGAUUAAUAGGGAUAGUUGGGGGCAUUAGUAUUCAAUUGUCAGAGGUGAAAUUCUUGGAUUUAUUGAAGACUAACUACUGCGAAAGCAUUUGCCAAGGAUGUUUUCAUUAAUCAAGAACGAAAGUUAGGGGAUCGAAGACGAUCAGAUACCGUCGUAGUCUUAACCAUAAACUAUGCCGACUAGGGAUCGGAUGAUGUAAUUUUUAAUGACUCAUUCGGCGCCUUACG